rnacentral:rRNA from 1 species
GACGAACCACCCAAACGUUAUUCGGAAUUACUGGGCUUAAAGGGUGCGUAGGCGGCGCGGAAAGUCAGGUGUGAAAUCCCUCGGCUCAACCGAGGAACUGCGCUUGAAACUACCGUGCUCGAGUGAGACAGAGGUGAGCGGAACUUCGGGUGGAGCGGUGAAAUGCGUUGAUAUCCGAAGGAACACCGGUGGCGAAAGCGGCUCACUGGGUCUUUUCUGACGCUGAUGCACGAAAGCUAGGGGAGCAAAC